rnacentral:rRNA from 1 species
AGUGAACGCUGGCGGUAGGCCUAACACAUGCAAGUCGAACGGCAGCACAGUAAGAGCUUGCUCUUACGGGUGGCGAGUGGCGGACGGGUGAGGAAUACAUCGGAAUCUACUUUUUCGUGGGGGAUAACGUAGGGGAACUUACGCUAAUACCGCAUACGACCUACGGGUGAAAGCAGGGGAUCUUCGGACCUUGCGCGAUUGAAUGAGCCGAUGUCGGAGUAGCUAGUUGGCGGGGUAAAGGCCCACCAAGGCGACGAUCCGUAGCUGGUCUGAGAGGAUGGUCAGCCACACUGGAACUGAGACACGGUCCAGACUCCUACGGGAGGCAGCAGUGGGGAAUAUUGGACAAUGGGCGCAAGCCUGAUCCAGCCAUCCCGCGUGUGUGAAGAAGGCCUUCGGGUUGUAAAGCCCUUUUGUUGGGAAAGAAACGCAGCAGGUUAAUACCACGCGGUUCUGACGGUACCCAAAGAAUAAGCACCGGCUAACUUCGUG